UCGGCUUUCUCCUCCGAGUCUAUCAGCGACGCCCAGCAAGUCUGUGUGCCCCGCCGGGGUCUCAGACCUCAUCACCCGGGGGCGUCUGAACACGAGAUCCCCUUUCUUGGAGGCUGGUUAUGCUCAGGGCACAGGGUGACAUACGGCAGUAUUGUGCUGGAAGAACCCAGCGUAUGUAGAGAGAAGUACAUCAAGAAUGGGCCGAAGCAAAAACCCUCACAGGGGAGGGAUCUUUGCCUUUACCGAGCACAUUCGCGUGACCACGUUGACGACUAGGAGCCUUGCGUGCUCCCCCGGCUACACAGACUGUUUCGUAAAAACUGUCCCAUUUGCUUUCUUGAAAUAAUGGGAUCCCCGAAUAAAUGAAAUGUGAUUAAUACACGCAUAGAUCUUAGAGCCGUGCUGUGUUCAGCACAUGGUUACCGCUGAGGGUUAACUAUUAUUUCUGUAUUAUUAUAAGAUGGGUCCCUUCUCUUUCGAGUACGGAAACGAAAAUCCGUUGCUCUGUCUCUCUCCUGUCGGCGCUGCGUCUCACCAAGCUGCCUCCUCCCGUCACAAAACCGAGCUGUAAAACACGCGUGUUAGCAGCUGCAAUGGCUUCUGUGUGUGAGCCUACAGAGCAAAGUUGUCUGCACCUACCCCAGCUGAAGCAAGCUUUCAAGAAGACUGUUAUUCCAGCGUUAUUCUUUAUAGUUUUAUAUAAAAACCAUUUUACGGCAGCUAUUAAAACAAUCUGUGUAAACAUAAUUUUUAUGGCUGAAUGAUACUCCAACAUAUGGCUACACCAUCAUUUACUUAACUGUGACUCCAUUGUUGGGUGUCUAGAAUGUUUCUUGUUUUUCAUUAUUAUG